UACGUAGGGUGCAAGCGUUAAUCGGAAUUACUGGGCGUAAAGCGUGCGCAGGCGGCUUUGCAAGACAGAUGUGAAAUCCCCGGGCUUAACCUGGGAACUGCAUUUGUGACUGCAUGGCUGGAGUGCGGCAGAGGGGGAUGGAAUUCCCAAUGUAGCGGUGAAAUGCGUAGAUAUUGGGAGGAACACCAGUGGCGAAGGCGGCUACCUGGACCGGUUCUGACGCUGAGGCGCGAAAGCGUGGGUAGCAAACAGG
rnacentral:rRNA from 1 species